rnacentral:rRNA from 1 species
AGCAGCAGCCGCGGGAAUACGGAGGGUGCAAGCGUUAAUCGGAAUUACUGGGCGUAAAGCGCACGCAGGCGGUCUGACAAGUCAGAUGUGAAAUCCCCGGGCUUAACCUGGGAACUGCAUUUGAAACUGUCAGGCUGGAGUCUUGUAGAGGGGGGUGGAAUUCCAGGUGUAGCGGUGAAAUGCGUAGAGAUCUGGAGGAAUACCGGUGGCGAAGGCGGCCCCCUGGACAAAGACUGACGCUCAGGUGCGAAAGCGUGGGGAGCAAACAGGAUUAGAUACCCGGGUAGUCCCUGUCUCUUAUAC